GCCAGAUGUUGCUGGGCUCCAACAUGCACCUGCCGCAGCCAGCGUUGCCUGUCGGUCAGGGAUGAUGGAAGUUGUAGCCCGGCAACGUCUGGAGGGUACUAUGUUGGCUACUGCUGCUGGGAUACAGAGUACAACAAAAGACACAUCUUUAAAAGAGGACUUUAGACAUUUGGACCCGGAACUAAAAUCUGCCCCCUCUGAUGCCGCUGGCAGACCCAGCCCACCUGGCGAGUUUUGAGAAGUAUCUCCAGUCGAUGAACGGCUCUGAGGAGAUCUGCCUGCUGACGACGUUUGCCCAGAUGGCUCAGACGAAACGGGGUGAUGUGGACCAGGACUUUGUCAAAGUCAUUGUGCUGGAGAUCUACGAGGAUGUAUGAAUCCAUCCUCUCCUGAGGUCACCAAGGAAUUGCACAGCCAAGACAUGCCAAGCGAACCUUGCAGCUUGGUACUUAGUGGAGGGGAGGGAUAUAUUAAUCUCCGCAUAGGAGAUGACACAGAUGACCGCUAUGGCGACUUGCUGCUCCUGAACCCUCGCUUACGUCGAACUGAACGAAGCCAUCUCAUUGUCUGGCAGGUGCAAGCCUGAGGCUAUGGUGGUGGGCACAACCACUAUUUUAGGGUGGAAUGGCACCAUUCUGGCCUACGAGGGGAUUGCACAAUUGAUAGAUGCUGGUGUUGUCUUCCCAUCACUAUCUCCUGCCCUCUUUCCCCAUGUGGUUAACCCUCAGGUGUCUGUAGGGUUGGGGUAAUGACUUUUGCAGUGUUUUCAGGCUGAUGAUUGUGGAGGAGAACAUCAGAAUGCCAGGAUCUGUUUUGUGAACAGGCUCGAUGAAGGGAUCUGCAACUGGUGGUUCCUCUGGCCCUCCUUUUAUCAUUGUUUCCACUGCUUUGAAAUGGGAGCAGUGUGCCACUUUGCAAUAUGUUGGUCUACUGCUAUAUGGACUACUCCCACAUCAAAUCCUGCUGUGUUAACUCCUCCUUGUGCUGUGCAGCAGCAUACCUCUUAUGGCCCAGGUGGUUGGGAGCUAAGAAGAUACAGUUUCCCAGGUAAUGUUAGAAUGGUAGAGACCUCUAUUACUAGUUGGGAAUGAAGAAAGUAGGUCCAGUGAGUUGGAACCCAAAAGGCUGAGAACCAAGACUCCUGGGGUUUCUUUGCAAAAGGAGCAGCAUCCAAGUGCAUUGGAGUUACAACUCUUCCCAUUUCUGGCUCCCACUUUUGAGUGUGAUUUCCUGAUGCACUUUUGAUUCUACGGGUUGGGACAGGAGGACAAGACACAGAAUCUAGAACUACUGGCACAGAGUUGUUGAAGCCUGUCAGUGUAAACCGCAGCACUACUUGGAGAAACCUGAAGGGGGAGCUCUUUCCUGCUGUGCUGCCUUCACUUUGGAAGUCAAAUAUUGAUUGGUUGGUUCCUGGUGCUGUUGUGUUAACCAGAUCCUGCCUGCAGCUUUGGAAUGAUGCUGGGGCCAGCCAGCCAGGGCUGUGGAGUCGGUACGCCAAACCUUCGACUCUGACUGCUCUAUUUUUCUACUGUCCGACUCUGACUCCAUCCAAAAUUGCUUCCGACUCCAACUCCACGACUCCACCUCCACAGCCCUGGAAAGCACUGUAAAUGUCUUUUUAAAUUGGAAGCUCUCGUAGGAGCAUUUUUAUCGCUGCCUGAAUAUGCGCUGAUCUUGGCAUCACAGCGUUUGUCUUCAUCUGGGUCCUGUGUCAUACACUGACACCCAAAAUGUUUUCCGUCUUGAGUUAUGGUGAAAUGCUCAACUACAGCUGACUUCAUGGGAAGCUUCUUUGACAUUGUGAAUUUAUAUUUUAAAAAAAUUGUCAAUCAAAAUUUAUUUUGAAGUCGGAGUCAGUACAUUUCUACCGCCUCUGCCUCCAACUCCACCCAACAUUGACUCCGCCUCCACAGCCUGCAGCCAGGGCACCUGCCUUGCUGUUUCUCAGGGUUGCUGUUUGUUUGUCUGUCUCAGUAAGGGUGAGUGUCUC